ensembl:lncRNA
GAACACGGAAAAUAUAACACGUGCAGGCGUUAACGGUUUCAGAAUAGAAUUAAGGUGGGAAAAACUACUCUCAGCGUGAUCAGUCAUCAGAAAUCCCUCUCUCCGUGUGUGUCAGUGUGUGAUGAUGGAGAGCAUCAGUGUGACGUGUGCAGAGGUUCAGAGCUCAGGCGGGUUUGAGCUGAGAGUUCCUGCUGACAGACUCACUCUCUUCAGUCAGUCUGACUGUGAACCGCUCUGGUACUCACAGGAUGAUCGUCUGAUAGCAGAUCCAUCAGAUCCUCAGAAACUGAUUGAUCCUGUUAUUUCUGUCUCAUCUGAUCGUCUCGUCACUUCUUACUGUGUGGAUGAACUUCGUCAUGAGAUCCGCUGCGAUGCUUCAGGAGUAAUGAUUUCUCUCUCAGCACCAUCAUUCAUCUGUUUUCAUAUUUAAUACUUCAUGAUGAUGUUCUAAUGAAUCUCUCUUUCAUCACAGCUCAGACUGGAGACCGUGUUCAGAGGUGAGAGAAACAGUGUGUGUCCUGAUUGAGAUCAAACUCUGUGUUGAACUGAAUCUUGUGUGAAUCCUCAAGUGAAUCAUGAUGAUUGUGAAUCUGUUUUUCAGUGAGGAAUGAAACUCCAGUGACUCCAGACUCAGGUGAGUUUCAGCUGAAAACGUCUGAUUAUUCACUAAUAAAACACUGCAGAUCUGAUUCA